rnacentral:misc_RNA from 1 species
GAAAAAUAAACUGAAAGGCAUUUGUACAAUUUGCCUCUUUUUUUUUGGUUGCCAUUGUGCAUCUUUGAAUGAGGUUCUUUCAUGUCUAUAUGAGAUCUUCUCUUCAUUUUAUUUUCCACAGCUGGGAUCAGACUUUGCAUGUUUUUAUUUUAUUUUUUAGGCAUUUGAAGUUUAAUGGAGUCUCUAAGACCUUUAGUUAGGUCUGCAUUUCAG